GACGAACGCUGGCGGCGUGCUUAACACAUGCAAGUCGAACGGAAAGGCCCUGCUUUUGUGGGGUGCUCGAGUGGCGAACGGGUGAGUAACACGUGAGUAACCUGCCCUUGGCUUUGGGAUAACUUCAGGAAACUGGGGCUAAUACCGGAUAGGAGCUCCUGCUGCAUGGUGGGGGUUGGAAAGUUUCGGCGGUUGGGGAUGGACUCGCGGCUUAUCAGCUUGUUGGUGGGGUAGUGGCUUACCAAGGCUUUGACGGGUAGCCGGCCUGAGAGGGUGACCGGCCACAUUGGGACUGAGAUAAGGCCCAGACUCCUACGGGAGGCAGCAGUGGGGAAUAUUGCACAAUGGGCGGAAGCCUGAUGCAGCAACGCCGCGUGCGGGAUGACGGCCUUCGGGUUGUAAACCGCUUUCGCCUGUGACGAAGCGUGAGUGACGGUAAUGGGUAAAGAAGCACCGGCUAACUACGUG
rnacentral:rRNA from 1 species